GAUGAACGCUGGCUGUGUGCCUAAUACAUGCAUGUCGAGCGGAAGUAGCAAUACUUUAGCGGCGAAUGGGUGAGUAACACGUGCUUAAUCUACCCCUUAGAUUGGAAUACCUAAUGGAAACAUUGGUUAAUGCCGGAUACGCAUGGAGUCGCAUGACUCCGUUGUGAAAGGGGCCUUUAAAGCUCCACUAAGAGAUGAGGGUGCGGAACAUUAGCUAGUUGGUGAGGUAACGGCCCACCAAGGCUAUGAUGUUUAGCCGGGUCGAGAGACUGAACGGCCACAUUGGGACUGAGAUACGGCCCAAACUCCUACGGGAGGCAGCAGUAGGGAAUAUUCCACAAUGAGCGAAAGCUUGAUGGAGCGACACAGCGUGCACGAUGAAGGUCUUAUGGAUUGUAAAGUGCUGUUGCAAGGGAAGAAAAAGUAGUUGAGGAAAUGCUUCUACAUUGACGGUACCUUGUUAGAAAGCGAUGGCUAACUAUGUGCCAGCAGCCGCGGUAAUACAUAGGUCGCAAGCGUUAUCCGGAAUUAUUGGGCGUAAAGCGUUCGUAGGCUGUUUAUUAAGUCUGGAGUCAAAUCCCAGGGCUCAACCCUGGCUCGCUUUGGAUACUGGUAAACUAGAGUUGGAUAGAGGUAAGCGGAAUUCCAUGUGAAGCGGUGAAAUGCGUAGAUAUAUGGAAGAACACCAAAGGCGAAGGCAGCUUACUGGGUUUAUACUGACGCUGAGGAACGAAAGCGUGGGGAGCAAACAGG
rnacentral:rRNA from 1 species